GGGGUUUGGCUCGUGAUUUCUGACCCUUUCAUGUGACUGUGUUAACCACAACAGAGAGACAUUUAAUUGCCCUUCUCGCCCAGCCUCCAAGGAGGCAAGCCUUGGUCUUUUGGACAACUCUGUGAUUCUCAAACACACGUGGCGGCAGCUGUAACCAUUUACAGAAAGACCAUCGUUGUCCAGCAAAGGGAACAGAUCUGUAAGUAAAGAGAGAGCAGCAGGUUAUGGCCUCCUUGUAGUACUAGUAGAUGAUUUGGGCAAGGUUUCUGACACAGUCUCUCACUCCACCCUGGUAUCCAAGCCGGGCAAUUACAGUCUGCAUAGGUGGCUUGCCGGAUGAGAGAAAAGCUGGCUGGGUCAUUGGACUUAAAGGGUGGUGUUCAUACCCUCCCUGGAGACCAGUUACAAGUUCCAUAUGGGUCUGUGCUGGUAUCUGUCCUGUUUUAAUGCUUUUAGCAGUGACUUAGAGGAGAAAAUGAGUGCAUCCUUCUUGGGUUUGUGGAUGACACCAAAUCAGGGUGGUGCACUCGACACAUGAGAGGGCAAGGCAGUCACCCACAAGGACCUGGACAAGCUGGAGGGAUGGGCCAGCAUGAACCUCAUGAAAUCCAGCAAGGACAAAGACAAAAGUCUUACCCCUUGGGUGGACCAACCCCUGUCAGGGCACAGGCUGGGGACUGCUUGGCAGGGGAGCGGCUCUGCAGGAUCUGGCAAAUCCAUCUGUGCUGCUGAUCUCUCAUCUCGACGCCCAUCUGCCUGAAGUUGCAGUGGCUGCUGUGAGGCUGGCGCGUUUUCAGACCAACCAGCUGACUCAGCGCCUCUUCCCUCAGGCCCUCCGGAGAGGCAUAAAAGGUACAGAGGGAAUCGCUGCUGGGGCUUGCUCAGCCUGAAGAAGAGGAGACUGAGAGGGGACCUCAUCAACACGUACAAAUAUCUU